rnacentral:tRNA from 1 species
UGAGAUGUUAGUAAACUAAUUACAUAGCCUUGUCAAGACUAAGUAGCAGGUGAAAACCCAGCACAUCUCAC